CCUACGUGGGGCAGCAGUGAGGAAUAUUGGUCAAUGGACGAGAGUCUGAACCAGCCAAGUAGCGUGAAGGAUGACUGCCCUAUGGGUUGUAAACUUCUUUUAUAUGGGAAUAAAAUGUUCCACGUGUGGGAUUUUGUAUGUACCAUAUGAAUAAGGAUCGGCUAACUCCGUGCCAGAAGCCGCGGUAAUACGGAGGAUCCGAGCGUUAUCCGGAUUUAUUGGGUUUAAAGGGAGCGUAGGUGGAUUGUUAAGUCAGUUGUGAAAGUUUGCGGCUCAACCGUAAAAUUGCAGUUGAAACUGGCAGUCUUGAGUACAGUCGAGGUGGGCGGAAUUCGUGGUGUAGCGGUGAAAUGCUUAGAUAUCACGAAGAACUCCGAUGGCGAAGGCAGCUCACUGGACUGCAACUGACACUGAGGCUCGAAAGUGUGGGUAUCAAACAGGAGUAGAUACCCGAGUAGUC
rnacentral:rRNA from 1 species